rnacentral:lncRNA from 1 species
CUGAUUCACUCGAGCCUAUUUCCGUAUUCGACGGUAGUUGGCGCUCAAACCCUAAUCGAUUCGCUCGACGCCCUUUCCGUCUUCGAGGCCGCGGUCGUCGAUGACUGUAUGUGCGACUGAUUGGGUAGAGCGUCGAGUUGGGGGCCUCGACUUGCGUACGGGCAAUCUUAUUAUGUGCACCAGUUAGGACACCCCUUACUGAUACCCUCGACAGUAUGCUUAGGAUGCAAGUGCUGCAAUCAAACACAAGCAAAAUUUUUCACCAAAGAUAGAUAACAAACUGAUUGAGCAACUUGAUAUAAAAUUCAGAGCUUGUGCACAUAAACAAACGGAACUUUCUACUCUUCCUUCACAACUUUUCUUUCCUCAAUCUUUCUUCUCUCUUUUUUUGAGUCUUUUCUUUCUUUUUUUGUCAUCUUUUUUUUGCACCACUAACUAUAAGAUCAGAUAUAGAAAAUUGCACACUUUCUUUUUGGUAGAAACAAGACACAACCGUCAGCGUUCUAACUUGAUAGGAUCAAAGUUUACGCGAAGGAUGAUCCGGGUUUCUGAAUUUUUGUUUUAGGAAUUUGUAGAUAUGUUAAAGAAGCUCAACUAAAAUAAAGACUCUAAUGGACCAAAAUUUAACCAAACUCACAAGAAUAAUAGAUUGAAACAACAGGCUGAUGUAAAAUAUUUUUGUGGCUUUUUAGUGGAUAGGACGAACAUAAAAUAUAUAUGUAGCUAAGGGUAAAAAUCCUACCGUGGCAACGAAAGCGUUGAUACCAAAUGAUGAGGUCGUUGUCCCGAUCUUCAUGACGUAGGAACUUGAUCUUGAUAACUUGCCGUAGAACGGCGGAUAACUUGCUACAAGUAGCGAUAACUAGUGCAACCUGAUGACACGCACAAGGAGCCAACCACCAUAUCUCUACGACAGCCUGAACCAAGGACUUGUCCAACCACACUCUCAAAGAACCAACCAACGCAACCUGAAUACAAAGAUCAGGAGCAUGGAUUGGGUGCCGAUGACGCAGCCACUUCUGUAAUCUCCACAAGGGAAAACAUAAGAGCAGAGGGGUAGAGAAUCUCUCUCUGGUUUUGUUAGCACACAGCUGAACAAAGUGGUCUGUAUUCUAAUUAUCAAAGUUAUAGUUUACAAUGAGUCUUAGGGGGGAAAUUAUACUAGCAACAGCCCUGCUAGAUAGGUGUAAACUUGAGGCAGAAAUUAAAAGACUAAGAAUGUG